CUUGUUCCAGCAUUUCACUGCCAAGUGCCAGAAGAAUGAGAAAUAUGCUACUUCCAGAUUGAACAUCUUUUUCAAUCCUAGUAAAAUAUGACAAAGUACAGAGAAGCCAAAAAAUAUUUGGACCAUCAAGCUCAUCAGAAAUGCUGCUUAUUGGCUGGGUGUGGUGGCUCACGCCUGUAAUCCCAGCAUUUGGGAGGCCAAGACUAACACCACAUCUACAGACACUGACCCUAGAUCACACCUCCAGGAGACAGGAGACAACAUCUUAACACUUUUCACCAUGCAUCCUCCUCUUGAAUCAGAGUGGACUAUUUGUAACUUUCGCCAGGACUUCUGACACUAUGGCAUAGUCCCUGCAAAAAAAGAAAUUGUCUGGAGAUAUAAUAAUUUGUGAUGUGAUCUCAG
rnacentral:lncRNA from 1 species